rnacentral:rRNA from 1 species
UACGAAGGGUGCAAGCGUUACUCGGAAUCACUGGGCGUAAAGCGUGCGUAGGCGGUUGAUUAAGUCUGCUGUGAAAGCCCUGGGCUCAACCUGGGAACUGCAGUGGAUACUGGUCGGCUAGAGUGUGAUAGAGGAUGGUGGAAUUCCCGGUGUAGCGGUGAAAUGCGUAGAGAUCGGGAGGAACACCAGUGGCGAAGGCGGCCAUCUGGAUCAACACUGACGCUGAGGCACGAAAGCGUGGGGAGCAAACAGG